GAUUAACGCUAGCGGCAGGCCUAAUACAUGCAAGUCGAGGGGUAACAGGGUAGCAAUACCGCUGACGACCGGCGCACGGGUGAGUAACACGUAUGCAACCUACCUAUAACUGGGGAAUAGCCUUCCGAAAGGAAGAUUAACACCGCAUAACAUCACGAGACGGCAUCGUCUUGUGAUCAAACCUCCGGGGGUUAUAGAUGGGCAUGCGUAACAUUAGCUAGUUGGUGAGGAACGGCUCACCAAGGCGACGAUGUUUAGGGGGUCUGAGAGGAUGAUCCCCACACUGGUACUGAGACACGGACCAGACUCCUACGGGAGGGCAGCAGUAAGGAAUAUUGGUACAAUGGGGGCGAACCCUCGAUCCAGCCAUGCCGCGUGAAGGAUGAAGGCG
rnacentral:rRNA from 1 species